rnacentral:lncRNA from 1 species
GGAGAUUAACAAUCAAAGAAAAAUAUGUGUAGCUGCACACCAAUGCACCACACAUAUUGUGCAUGGCACAAACUAUACUAACUGCAUGCUGAAUCUGAAAUUGUGGUUUGUUAUGAUUUUGUAGUAAACAUAUGCACCUUGCACAUUUUACCUCCACAUUAAUCAUCUCUGAAAAUACAAGUUUUUAACACAAGUAAAAAACGAAAAUGGGAAAAAAGCCCACCCUCAUACCCCCAAGACACUGAAACAAACAUGGCAAACAUGUUUAUGCAAGAUUAUAAGCUCAGUCAAACAUUUAUGUGGUUUUUUUCGCCAGUGUUUACUAAUUUUUACAGUGCAAGGGGAGUAACUCUUGAUGGUUUCAUUACUGUGUCAGAAAACUGGGUCAUUCAAUCAACAGGUGAUCACAGGAAGUAAACAUGCGGUAGAGAACUAAAUGAAAGUGAAACAUAGAGACAAAUCAAUGAACAAAGUAUGACAGUCAUUAAUUAAAUAAGUUAACAAAAAACAAAAGAAAAAAUAACAGAAAGGAAAAAAUCCAAAUAUGACAUCGAGUUACAAAGGCAAACUGUGAAUGACCUAAUGUUGUAAUAUUCAUUUUACAUGGUUUUAUUUUGUUUAUAAUUUUGUUUCAAGGUAUGUGUUUUCCAAUAAAUGCAUGUACUGUGGCUGGAUGCAUUGCAUUGGGAGAUAUGAAGUGGUCUUUUUGUCUGAUACAAGGUUUAUUUCAGUGUCUUGGACCAUUAUCCCAUUUUCAUAACAAACUUAAAAUAAACAAACUUUUUAAUUUAAAAAAAACACAACUAACUCAUAUCAUGC